rnacentral:rRNA from 1 species
AUUGAACGCUGGCGGCAGGCCUAACACAUGCAAGUCGAGCGGAGCGGCGGACGGGUGAGUACUGCCUAGGAAUCUGACUGGUAGUGGGGGAUAACGUCCGGAAACGGGAGCUAAUACCGCAUACUAUCAGAUGAGCCUAGGUCGGAUUAGCUAGUUGGUGGGGUAAAGGCCUACCAAGGCGACGAGCCCUAGCUGGUCUGAGAGGAUGACCAGCCACACUGGAACUGAGACACGGUCCAGACUCAUACGGUAGGCAGCAGUGGGGAAUAUUGCACAAUGGGCGAAAGCCUGAUGCAGCCAUGCCGCGUGUGUGAAGAAGGCAUUCGGGUUGUAAAGCACUUUCAGCGGGGAGGCGUUACCCGCAGAAGAAGCACCGGCUAACUCCGUGCCAGCCGCCGCGGUAAUAC